rnacentral:snRNA from 1 species
AUACCUUUCUCGGCCUUUUGGCUAAGAUAAAGUGUAUUAUCUGUUCUUAUCAGUUUAAUAUUUGAUAUGUGGGCCAUGCGCUACUUCGAUAUUAAAUAAAUUUCUUUUAGGGGGGGAGGUCGCGUGUCGCCCGCACUACUGCUUGGGCAUGGCGCACCCCAG